AACUUAGAAAUUUGAAAAUUUAGAAAUUCCGACUUUAAAAUUUUAGCGUAUCUGAAAAUCUAACGACAGGAGAAUUUGACAAUUUAGAUUCUUGGUAAUGCAAUAACUUAAAUUUUCUGAUGUGUCCUUUUGAAUGUUCAUAAACAGAAUUCCGCUUCUCAUCCGAAUACUCAACUAAUUAUCUCGAUAACUAUUACAAAAAACUAAAUAUGAACAAACGUGAUGAAAAUGUGAAGGUAUUCAGGAGCUUUUCUAUCGGGUAAGAAGCGAGUACGUGUUUGCGAGCACGAUCGAUCGAUCUCGUGCGGCUGUGAAAUUACUACGUUCAGAUUAAAUGGCAAAGCGAUACGUACGGCUCGGAGAGCAAGCUGAUUGUGACUCAGCAUCGAGUGAACAGUACGGUGAUUACAACGGCAUGUAAUUGCAUUGCGGCUCGUUUAACAUCGUCGCCGCCGAGCGGUGUCAAUUAUAGGUGUUUGAUAAUCACCUACAAACCUAUACUAAUCCCGUGGAGGAUGUGUUGCGAAUCGUUGGCUCGAUGCUGCAAGAAGAUACAGUGAACGUUGCUGAAGGGUCAACUCUGCUGACCGAAUACUCCCAUCAUUUUUGGGAAUUUUUCAGGUCCAACCUUUUGGUCUGAUUUCAUUUACGUUAAAAAAAACUUUUGGACACGGACGUAGCCGAACUACAAGGACGUAGUUAGGAAACUAGUCAGGAACAUGGCUUAAAGAGAGCUUAAGGAAUCAACAGGAGACCAAAAAAUUGUGAUAGCAGAGAUAGUAAAAAGUUUCAAAGCUACUUAUGGACACAAGUACAAUGGAUCAAGAGCCACCAGACGAUGUUAAUGAAAUUGCUAGUGAUUACAACACAGUCACAUAGUGAUAACGCUUAUCUCGAGCUACUAUUUACAAAAAUGGUACUAGCAUCGCAAAAUGGGUUCCAUGUAUUAAUUGAUUUCAGAGAUUUCGGAGACAUGAAGGGUGUGGU